UCCUGAUAUCUGCAUGUUCAAAGUUGUCUUUUCUUUUUUUAUAUAAUACAGGGACCAGAUGACACUGAUGAGCCCUGCUGACUUAAAUGUAUUCACAUGAGUCUCUGUACAUGAACAUGGUAAAAUGAAGCAAACACCUUUGAAAUGGGCAAAAAGAGUCUGAGGGCGUGUUCCCCAGUCUGACGUCCUGUGGCGGCUCUGUCAGAUAACUGAUGGUCCACUCAAUGAGAGCAGGCUCCAUGCUAAGAUUCUCGAGUUUGCCUCUCAGGAUCUGGGGCUGGAUGGUGUUGAAUGUGCU